CUACGGGACGCACCAGUGGGGAAUAUUGCACAAUGGGCGAAAGCCUGAUGCAGCAACGCCGCGUGAGGGACGACGGCCUUCGGGUUGUAAACCUCUUUUAGCAGGGAAGAAGCGAAAGUGACGGUACCUGCAGAAAAAGCACCGGCUAACUACGUGCCAGCAGCCGCGGUAAUACGUAGGGUGCAAGCGUUGUCCGGAAUUAUUGGGCGGAAAGAGCUCGUAGGCGGUUUGUCGCGUCUGCUGUGAAAAUCCGAGGCUCAACCUCGGACCUGCAGUGGGUACGGGCAAACUAGAGUGCGGUAGGGGAGAUUGGAAUUCCUGGUGUAGCGGUGGUAUGCGCAGAUAUCAGGAGGAACACCAAUGGCGAAGGCAGAUCUCUGGGCCGUAACUGACGCUGAGGAGCGAAAGCGUGGGGAGCGAACAGGAUUAGAUACCCCGGUAGUC
rnacentral:rRNA from 1 species